rnacentral:rRNA from 1 species
ACAACGGAGAGUUUGAUCCUGGCUCAGGAUGAACGCUAGCGGCAGGCCUAAUACAUGCAAGUCGAGGGGCAGCGGGAGUAGCAAUACUUGCCGGCGACCGGCGCACGGGUGCGUAACACGUAUACAAUCUACCUUUAAC